CUGGGAAGCAGGAGGAAUUUUUCAUGAAUUGGGUCGUGCUGUCGCAAUACUACUAGCGAUAGUUUGAUUCUUGUGGGGAAGUGAGCUCGGAGCACGAGAUCGUGUUUCUAUAUGCUCCUAAGCUUCUUCAGGCUUCGAAAUUUCGACAAUUCUUUCUGAUAAUUCUAGUUCUAGCUGCAAAGUUUUGAAUUUUGACAGCUUCUUUGGGAGCCUGAAAUAUCAAGAAGUUGCGAAUUUAAAGGGAACUCCUUGUUUUUUUAUAAACACCGAAAAUUUUCACUCUCCAGGGAUAGGGGAUGAGGGUAACUUCUCUCAUUUAGGGGAUUGAAGACAGGGAAAGGCGAGAUAGGGGCUGAUAAGGACAGGGAGAAGGAGUGCAUCCAUGUGGAGUUGUCACCCUGCCUCAUGAUCAUAGCUGAUAAUGGUCUGCCAAUCUGUGAAAGAUUGACACAUGGAUCCUGAAGGCAAAAAGUUUGGAGGAGGACCAAGGGAAUUAACGGGUGCCGUAGAUCUUAUAAGUCACUUCAAAUUACUUCCGCACUAUGAGUUCUUUUGCAAGAGGCCACUUCCCAUGUCAAUUGCAGACACACACUAUCUUCACAAUGUGGUAGGAGACACUGAAAUCAGAAAAGGAGAUGGGAUGCAGUUGGAUCAACUUCUUCAGCAUACAUCUUCUUCCAUAGAUACAAGUGCUCGUAUACAGCCUUUUGACCUAGACAUUUUGAAGGAGGCUUUUCAACUGAGGGAAACAGCUCCCGUUGAAUUACCUCCUGCCGAGAAGGGGACUCCAACUAUUGCAGGAAAAUCAAAAGGUGAGUCUAAAGACAAGGAGAAGAAGCAUAAAAAACACAAAGACAGGGACAAAGAUAAGGAUAAGGAGCAUAAGAAGCACAAACAUCGUCAUAAAGACCGAAGCAAAGACAAAGACAAGGACAAAGAGAGAAAGAAAGAGAAAAGUGUGUAUCAUGAUUCCAGUGCUGAUCAUGCAAAGAAACACCAUGAAAAGAAAAGGAAGCAUGAUGGAGAUGAAGAUCUUAACGAUGCAAACAAACACAAAAAAAGCAAGCAUAAGAGCUCAAAAAUUGAUGAGUUGGGGGCAAUAAAGGUAGCAGGAUAAAAUGGAUACAUACUGUAGUUCACUUUUUUCCUCAAAUAGUUGUUGUCAGUUGUUAAAGUUUGGAGGGGUCUCUCAGUUGACAUUGUGAAACUUAAGAGUAGCUAGUGAACUGUCAGUAAAUAUUAUCAUGAGGGUGAAUUGGUGGAAGAAAAGGAUACUGAGGUAAAAUUUGCUGAGAAUGAACCUUGUUGUAUAAUAACAACGAUCUUAUAUAUUAGUGCCAGUAAUUUCCCAAACUCUGGUCCUUUCUGUUUUCCCAGUUUUGUGGCGCACUGGACAUCUCAAAGUGAAUGAUGCAUUGUACUUUUUCCCCAUCGUGGUUUUUUAAUUUUCUAGUUUACUCUUCCGUAAAUAGUUUUUUUUUUAAAUUUAUUUAUUUAGGGCUAGUUGCUUAGGAUGAUUGAACUAGGACUAACACCGCGAAGCGUGUAUAUUGAUUGCUCCUCCCAUGCCCUGUAUCUAACAGUAACAAGUCUGAAAUUGAUGACUGUAUGGCUUUGCAUCAUGCAAACUAACUCUUCUCCAAGUUCUUUGUAUAUCUAUUGGAUUAAAAUGUUAUUUUGAAGCAA